rnacentral:rRNA from 1 species
UACGUAGGGGGCAAGCGUUGUCCGGAAUCAUUGGGCGUAAAGCGCGUGUAGGCGGCCUGCUAAGUCUGAUGUGAAAGCCCGAGGCUCACCCUCGGAAGUGCAUUGGAAACUGGCAGACUGGAGUCCCGGAGAGGAGGGUGGAAUUCCUGGUGUAGCGGUGAAAUGCGUAGAUAUCAGGAGGAACACCGGUGGCGAAGGCGGCCCUCUGGACGGUGACUGACGCUGAGACGCGAAAGCGUGGGGAGCAAACAGG